CUUGUUCUUAUCUUAUAUUUUUAUCUUUUCUUUCUCACAGCCCUUUGCUGUUGCAUUUUGACUAAGUUUCAUGGGAAUCUAUUUGUUGCCGAACUCUAAAUAUACCUGUCUAUGGUAUCCAGUCUCUCCGUAUAAGCAUAUAUAGAGAAGGUAUCAAUACCCAGUCCAGGAGUGUAGGGCGGGAUUGGUAAAAGUAAAGAUAUUGGUCAGUAGUUUUGUGAGCUGUUAGAUAUAAGCUUUGUUCACAAGGCGUUUUCUUCAUAUGGGAUAAAUUUAUUGCAAUGGUUUCCUCCUGUCUGUUGCAAUCGAUUUAAAACACUCACCUCAAUGGGGGAAUGACUGUCUAUUCCAUUGCUUUCUUUUUCUUCAGCAUGGCUACAUACUUUUUUGUUCAUCUGUGCCUGAGGUCAAUGACCCAGAUAUUCUUCUCCUUGCUUCUGGCUAUGUGUACUUUUUCAUGUAUACGGUAACGAAUUUUAUUCUCUUAUUGUUUGCCCUCUCCAUUGUUGACAUUAGCAUUUUAUAAGCAUGACUAGAUUAAUCAUACCACUAAAAAUUUAAUAUCUUAUAUUGUGGCCCAAAUAUAUUAAUGUAGCCUAUAUGUUCACUCCUAACUUCCAAAUCAGGCACCAACAUUAGGAUCUAAAAGUGAAAUAGAAAAUGUGAAAGUACAAAACGAUUAACUUUUUGCUACCAACCAUCUCAUUAUUUAUUGCCAUUUACUUUGCAAUAAUUACUUAAGAAAAAAAAUCUUGAUUAUUGCUCCCUACUGCUUUAACUGCAGUCGCGGAUUUAAAGAUGAAUUCAGGCUUCAGCCUUUCCCUGGGGCUGAUGGACUUCUCCUUUCAAAGUAGGACACUUCUAUCUGAUGGCAUUAACCAUAAAAUCCCCCAUUUCAAGUCUAUGAUAUCCUGAAGGACAACGGCUCAUUUCAUUUCUUAUCAAGAAAUCAGGCAGAUCAGUCAUAUUUCCCGAAUCAAAUGACAUUUCAGAAAAUUCAUUUGAACCAAAAAUGAGGUUUCGUUUCUG
rnacentral:lncRNA from 1 species